CCGCAUUUGUGAGCCCGCCCUCGCUGAGCCUCGGCCCCUAACGAAGUGCUCUCCCCCUACUGACCCCGCCUUCACUCAACCCCCUUCCUUUUACCAGGCCUGCACUCCACUAGCCCCUCCCCUUCACCACGUCCCCUCUGAGUCCCCACCUUGGCACUCACCCGCCCCAGACCUCAGAACCGGAUUCGCUGGCCUCUUUCUCAGACCCUCUGCCCCAGAACUAGACACACUGACCCCGUCCACCUGAUGGGUACCCCUCUGCCCUUCCCCAGUAGCCCUGCCCUCCCCACCCCUGUGUGAGGGGCCUGGGUUGGAGGGGUUUGCCAGGGUCUCAUCUGUGGUUCCCCCUCCCCUGUCCUGAGUGAGACCCUGGCAAUCGUCUGGGGACCCAACUAACCCCGUCCAACUGUCUGUCCUUCUUUCUCCCCUGACCCUCAGCAAAAAGAGGAGACUAGACUCGGAGUGCAGCUGUGGGAGCUCCUCACCCCUGCGAAAGAAGAAGAAGAGUGUGAAGAAGCACCGCAAAGACAGGUCUGAUUCUGGGUCCAGGAGGAAGAGACGGCACAGAUCUCGAAGCCCCAAGAGCAAAAGAAAAGAGAAGAACAAAGAGAGGAAGAGGCCACAUGAGUCCCCAGGCCGGAGGUCCCAUCGCCACAGCAGCGGAAGUUCCCACAGCCCCUCACUCUCCUCCCAGGACAGUGAUUCCAGAUCGCCCAGCAGGCUGAGCCCCAAGCCCCGAGGCGAAGGUCGGAAGACGGGCAGCCAGCGGUCCAGCGGGAGCCGAUCGCCUUCCCUGUCAGGCGGCAGCGGAUGGGGGUCGCCCCA